ACGAAGGUACAUGUGAGAACAAUGCAUGUACAUGUGCCGUGGAAUUUAAUGGAGCUUUGUGUAGUACAGUUGACUGUUCUGGUAGCAACCCAUGUCGGAACGGAGGUACCUGUGAGAACAAUGCAUGUACAUGUGCUGCGGGAUUUACCGGAGCUUUGUGUAGUACAGUUGACUGUUCUGGUAGCAACCCAUG